CCUGGCCUCUUCCUGGGGCCUGGAGCCCUGGUUGCCAUCAGCCAUGGCUCCCAAAAAGAGUGUGAGCAAGGCAGGCAAGGAGCUUGAAGUCAAGAAGAAGAAAGGGGGCAAGAAGGAGCCGGUGGUGGCCGUGGAGCCGCCUCUGGCCGAGGAGAUGAAGGAGUUCUACCACAUCCAGAUCCGAGACCUGGAGGACCGGCUGGCCCGGUACCAGCGGAAGUGGGAUGAGCUGGCUGUGCAGGAGAAGCUGUUCCGCCAGGAGUUCGAGCAGCUGGCCAAUAACAAGAAGGAGAUUGUGGCCUUCCUCAAGCGCACGCUCAACCAGCAGGUUGAUGAGAUCACAGACCUCAACGAGCAGCUCCAGAACUUGCAGCUAGCCAAAGAGAUGGAGAAGGAUGCCUUCGAGGCGCAGCUAGCCCAGGUGCGCCACGAGUUCCAGGAGACCAAGGACCAGCUCACCACGGAGAACAUCAUCCUUGGUGCGGAAGCAGGAGAAUGAGUUCAGGGACUAUGCAUACAACCUGGAGAAGAAGUCGGUGCUGGACAAGGACAGACUGAGGAAAGAGAUCAUCCAGCGCGUGAACCUCGUGGCCAAUGAGUUCCACAAGGUGACCACGAACCGGAUGUGGGAGACAACCAAGCGGGCCAUCAAAGAGAACAACGGCAUUAGCCUGCAGAUGGCCAGGGUCUCCCAGCAAGGCAUGAAGCUGCUGCGGGAGAAUGAGCAACUCAAGGGAAGCCAGAACAAUCUGUGCAAACAGCUGGAGCUGCUGGAGAACACCCAGAAGGUCAUGGCCAGGCACAAAAGAGGCCACCAGAAGAUCAUCCUCAUGCUGACCAAGAAGUGCCAGGAGCAGCAGCAGGACACCAAGGAGGCCCAGGAGCUGCGCCUACUGCUGAGCCAGUUGGAGCAGAGAUCCCUGCAGCUGCAGGAGCCAGAGAGACCAGCUGAGCCUGCAGCUGGAGCAGAAGCAGGUGGAUUUGCAGCAGCUACAGCAAAAACUGGCUAAUGAGCAGAAGGUUCGGGCCAGCCUGGAGGCGGCUCUGGUCCAGGCCACCUCCUUCCUACAGAACAUUCUGCAGGUGAGCAGAAGGGAGGGAGGGAGGGCGCAAAGGGAGGGGGAGUGAGCCCAAGAUGGAAGCUGCUUGCAGAGAAGGGGCAGCCUCAGGAUCAGAGGCCCCUCUUUUCCCUGAGAGACUCCUGGAAAGUCUGUCCUUCGCUGAUUCUGGCCUUCAAAGAUCCCUCCAAGGUCUUAAAGGAGUUGGAUUCCUUCUCUGAGGCUCUGAAAGGUCUCGGGCCUCAGUCUUCCAGACUGAAGAAUGGGUAUCCCACCACAGACAGGGAAAACUUUGUGGAAAUGGGCACUGAGGUUGGAAUUUCCUGGAGGAGGGUGGGUACUGGGGCCACUGUGGGCCUGCUGUCACCCCACCCUCACCAACAGAUGCACCCCGAUGAAGAGGACAGCGACUUUGACGUGACGUUCCAGCCAUGGCACAAGGAGAUGCUGCAGCAACUGCUGGUCAUGCUCGGCUCCACUGUGGUCCCGAGACCUCAGAAGGCUGUGUGUCCCCACCGGGAGUCACAGUCCCAUGGCCCACCCAAGGAGAGCCAGCCCAGCAUCCAGCUGCCCAGGACUGGGUCUCUGCUGCCGCAGCUCUCUGACAUCACCCCCUACCAGCCGGGGGAUCUAGGCCUGGUACCUCGCCAGGCCCACAUCCCACCCAACCCCCAGGACCUCAGGCUGCUGUCAUAUAUCACCCGUGUGGGGACCUUCCGGGCACACAGCAGCCCUGAGCAGGGAAAGAGUGGGAUCCUCCUGAAGAGGCCUCAGCUUCCAAACCAGCAUCUUUUUUUUUUUUUUUUUGAGACAGAGUCUCACUCUGUCACCCAGACUGGAGUGCAGUGCCGCAAUCUCAGCUCACGGCAACCUCCGCCUCCCGGGUUCAAGUGAUUCUCCUGCCUCAGUCUCCCAAGUAGCAGGGAUUACAGGCAUGCACCAUCAUGCCCAGCUACUUUUUGUAUUUUUAGUAGAGAUGGGGUUUCACCAUGUUGGCCAGGCUGGUCUCGAACUCCUGACGUCAAGCAAUCCCCCAGCCUCGGCCUCCCAAAGUGCUGGGAUUGCAGGCGUGAGCCACUGCACCCGGCCUCCAAGCCAGCAUCUUUAAUCUUACAGAUGCGUGCACCUGGUUCUCUAAAAAGGCUUGAAAAGUUUAGUCUUCCUGAAGUUCCCCUACGUCCCAAGUAGGACACAGAGAGAAGAACCUACUCCAGAAAUGGACUGGUCCAGUCACAGUCACCCCCACUUUAAUCCGCAGGCAGCCUGGAACAGUCUAGAGGAGAUUUGUAUAAAAAGUAGAUACC
rnacentral:sRNA from 1 species